UACGGGGGGAGCAAGCGUUGUUCGGAAUUACUGGGCGUAAAGGGCGCGUAGGCGGCCCCUUUUGUCGCGUGUGAAAGCCCCGGGCUCAACCUGGGAGGUGCGCGCGAAACGGGGGGGCUUGAGUUCGGGAGAGGAGCGUGGAAUUCCCAGUGUAGAGGUGAAAUUCGUAGAUAUUGGGAAGAACACCGGUGGCGAAGGCGGCGCUCUGGACCGAGACUGACGCUGAGGCGCGAAAGCGUGGGGAGCAAACAGG
rnacentral:rRNA from 1 species